GGAAUAUUGCACAAUGGGCGCAAGCCUGAUGCAGCCAUGCCGCGUGUGUGAAGAAGGCCUUCGGGUUGUAAAGCACUUUCAGUAAGGAGGAAAGGUUAAGUUUUAAUAGAGCUUAGCUGUGACGUUACUUACAGAAGAAGCACCGGCUAACUCCGUGCCAGCAGCCGCGGUAAUACGGAGGGUGCGAGCGUUAAUCGGAAUUACUGGGCGUAAAGCGUACGCAGGCUGUUUGUUAAGCGAGAUGUGAAAGCCCCGGGCUCAACCUGGGAACUGCAUUUCGAACUGGCAAACUAGAGUGUGAUAGAGGGUGGUAGAAUUUCAGGUGUAGCGGUGAAAUGCGUAGAGAUCUGAAGGAAUACCGAUGGCGAAGGCAGCCACCUGGGUCAACACUGACGCUCAUGUACGAAAGCGUGGGGAGCAAAC
rnacentral:rRNA from 1 species